CACGUAGGGUGCAAGCGUUGUCCGGAAUUAUUGGGCGUAAAGGGCUCGUAGGCGGUCCGUCACGUCGGGAGUGAAAACUCGGGGCUCAACCCCGAGCCUGCUUUCGAUACGGGCGGACUAGAGGUAGGUAGGGGAGAACGGAAUUCCUGGUGUAGCGGUGGAAUGCGCAGAUAUCAGGAGGAACACCGAUGGCGAAGGCAGGUCUCUGGGCAUUAACUGACGCUGAGGAGCGAAAGCAUGGGGAGCGAACAGG
rnacentral:rRNA from 1 species